GUGGGGAAUAUUGGACAAUGGGCGAAAGCCUGAUCCAGCCAUGCCGCGUGUGUGAAGAAGGUCUUCGGAUUGUAAAGCACUUUAAGUUGGGAGGAAGGGCAGUAAGUUAAUACCUUGCUGUUUUGACGUUACCGACAGAAUAAGCACCGGCUAACUUCGUGCCAGCAGCCGCGGUAAUACGAAGGGUGCAAGCGUUAAUCGGAAUUACUGGGCGUAAAGCGCGCGUAGGUGGUUGUGUAAGUUGGAGGUGAAAUCCCCGGGCUCAACCUGGGAACUGACUCCAAAACUGCAUGACUAGAGUACGGUAGAGGGUAGUGGAAUUUCCUGUGUAGCGGUGAAAUGCGUAGAUAUAGGAAGGAACACCAGUGGCGAAGGCGACUACCUGGACUGAUACUGACACUGAGGUGCGAAAGCGUGGGGAGCAAACAGGAUUAGAUACCCCGGUAGUCC
rnacentral:rRNA from 1 species